rnacentral:rRNA from 1 species
UACGUAGGGUGCGAGCGUUAAUCGGAAUUACUGGGCGUAAAGCGUGCGCAGGCGGUUUGUUAAGCCAGAUGGGAAAGCCCCGGGCUCAACCUGGGAACUGCGUUUGGUACUGGCAAGCUAGAGUACGGCAGAGGGGGGUGGAAUUCCACGUGUAGCAGUGAAAUGCGUAGAGAUGUGGAGGAACACCGAUGGCGAAGGCAGCCCCCUGGGUCAAGACUGACGCUCAUGCACGAAAGCGUGGGGAGCAAACAGG